ensembl:lncRNA
GGCGUUGGGUAGGAGGCACCGCGUUUCCCCCACUCGUGGGUUGUUUUCCAUUGGAUGAAGGUCAACCUCGUUGCUAAAUGGAGUUUUCACUUGAAAGUUUUGGGGUGAUGUGGGAAGAUGUCUGCUGAAGUCCCAGGACUGCUGCUAGACACAGGGGAAGGGACCAUCCCAUAGGCUGCUUCGAUUGCUCUUCGGGCAUCUCCGGUGGCCUCUCAAGGUCUAGUCAUGAAUGAUUUGUGAUCAACAGUGAGGCAUUUUAAAAAA